rnacentral:rRNA from 1 species
GUACGGGUGCGGAACACGUUGAGCACCUGCCUUUAUCUGGGGGAUAGCCUUUCGAAAGGAAGAUUAAUACCCAUAAUAUGUUGAAUGGCAUCAUUCGACAUUGAAAAAAAAAAACCCCCGGUGGAUAGAGAUGGGCACGCGCAAAGAUUAGAUAGUUGGUGAGGUAACGGCUCACCAAAAGUUCUACGAAAUCUUUUAGGGGGCCUGAGAGGGUGAUCCCCCACACUGGUACUGAGACACGGACCAGACUCAUACGGGAGGCAGCAGUGAGGAAUAUUGGACAAUGGGUGAGAGCCUGAUCCAGCCAUCCCGCGUGAAGGACGACUGCUCUAUGGGUUGUAAACUUCUUUUGUAUAGGGAUAAACCUUACCCUCGUGAGGGUAAGCUGAAGGUACUAUACGAAUAAGCACCGGGCUAACUCCGUGCCAGCAGCCGCGGUAAUACGGAGGGUGCAAGCGUUAUCCGGAUUUUAUUGGGUUUAAAGGGUCCCGUAGGCGGGACCUGGUAAAGUCAAGUGGUGAAAUUCCUCCACAGUUUAACUGUGAAACUGCCAAUUGGAUUAACUGCAGGUUCUUGGAGUUGUUGUUAAAGUUACUGGAA